rnacentral:rRNA from 1 species
GAUGAACGCUGGCGGCGUGCUUAACACAUGCAAGUCGAACGGAAAGGCCCAAGCUUGCUUGGGUACUCGAGUGGCGAACGGGUGAGUAACACGUGGGUGAUCUGCCCUGCACUUCGGGAUAAGCCUGGGAAACUAGGUCUAAUACCGGAUAGGACGAUGGUUUGGAUGCCAUUGUGGAAAGUUUUUUCGGUGUGGGAUGAGCUCGCGGCCUAUCAGCUUGUUGGUGGGGUAAUGGCCUACCAAGGCGUCGACGGGUAGCCGGCCUGAGAGGGUGUACGGCCACAUUGGGACUGAGAUACGGCCCAGACUCCUACGGGAGGCAGCAGUGGGGAAUAUUGCACAAUGGGCGCAAGCCUGAUGCAGCGACGCCGCGUGGGGGAUGACGGCCUUCGGGUUGUAAACUCCUUUCGCUAGGGACGAAGCGUUUUUGUGACGGUACCUGGAGAAGAAGCACCGGCUAACUACGUG